ACUUCCUCUAAUCAUGUCAACAACCAGGUCUGGGGAGCAUUACGACCUCUACUUCCUCUAAUCAUGUCAACAACCAGGUCUGGGGAGCAUUACGACCUCUACUUCCUCUAAUCAUUCAACAACCUCAACAACCAGGUCUGGGGAGCAAUACGACCUCCAUACUUCCUCUAAUCAUGUCACCAACCUCAACAACCAGGUCUGGGGAGCACUACGACCUCCAUACUUCCUCUAAUCAUGUCAACAACCAGGUCUGGGGAGCACUACGACCUCCAUACUUCCUCUAAUCAUGUCACCAACCUCAACAACCAGGUCUGGGGAGCACUACGACCUCCAUACUUCCUCUAAUCAUGUCAA